GGCUCAGGAUGAACGCUGGCGGCGUGCCUAAUACAUGCAAGUCGAGCGAACGGACGAGAAGCUUGCUUCUCUGAUGUUAGCGGCGGACGGGUGAGUAACACGUGGAUAACCUACCUAUAAGACUGGGAUAACUUCGGGAAACCGGAGCUAAUACCGGAUAAUAUUUUGAACCGCAUGGUUCAAAAGUGAAAGACGGUCUUGCUGUCACUUAUAGAUGGAUCCGCGCUGCAUUAGCUAGUUGGUAAGGUAACGGCUUACCAAGGCAACGAUGCAUAGCCGACCUGAGAGGGUGAUCGGCCACACUGGAACUGAGACACGGUCCAGACUCCUACGGGAGGCAGCAGUAGGGAAUCUUCCGCAAUGGGCGAAAGCCUGACGGAGCAACGCCGCGUGAGUGAUGAAGGUCUUCGGAUCGUAAAACUCUGUUAUUAGGGAAGAACAUAUGUGUAAGUAACUGUGCACAUCUUGACGGUACCUAAUCAGAAAGCCACGGCUAACUACGUGCCAGCAGCCGCGGUAAUACGUAGGUGGCAAGCGUUAUCCGGAAUUAUUGGGCGUAAAGCGCGCGUAGGCGGUUUUUUAAGUCUGAUGUGAAAGCCCACGGCUCAACCGUGGAGGGUCAUUGGAAACUGGAAAACUUGAGUGCAGAAGAGGAAAGUGGAAUUCCAUGUGUAGCGGUGAAAUGCGCAGAGAUAUGGAGGAACACCAGUGGCGAAGGCGACUUUCUGGUCUGUAACUGACGCUGAUGUGCGAAAGCGUGGGGAUCAAACAGGAUUAGAUACCCUGGUAGUCCACGCCGUAAACGAUGAGUGCUAAGUGUUAGGGGGUUUCCGCCCCUUAGUGCUGCAGCUAACGCAUUAAGCACUCCGCCUGGGGAGUACGACCGCAAGGUUGAAACUCAAAGGAAUUGACGGGGACCCGCACAAGCGGUGGAGCAUGUGGUUUAAUUCGAAGCAACGCGAAGAACCUUACCAAAUCUUGACAUCCUUUGACAACUCUAGAGA
rnacentral:rRNA from 1 species